UGAACGCUGGCGGUAUGCUUAACACAUGCAAGUCGAACGGAAACGAUACUAGCUUGCUAGUAGGCGUCGAGUGGCGGACGGGUGAGUAACGCGUAGGAAUCUGCCUGAUAGUGGGGGAUAGCCCGAAGAAAUUCGGAUUAAUACCGCAUAAUCUAUUCGUAGUAAAGUGGGGGACUUUCGAGCCUCACGCUAUCAGAUGAGCCUGCGUAAGAUUAGCUUGUUGGUAGGGUAAAAGCCUACCAAGGCGACGAUCUUUAGCUGGUCUGAGAGGAUGAUCAGCCACAUCGGGACUGAGACACGGCCCGAACUCCUACGGGAGGCAGCAGUGGGGAAUAUUGGACAAUGGGGGCAACCCUGAUCCAGCAAUACCGCGUGUGUGAAGAAGGCCUGAGGGUUGUAAAGCACUUUCAAUUGUGAAGAAAAGUUAGCGGUUAAUAACCGUUAGCCUUGACGCUAACUUUAGAAGAAGCACCGGCUAACUCCGUGCCAGCAGCCGCGGUAAUACGGAGGGUGCAAGCGUUAAUCGGAAUUACUGGGCGUAAAGCGUGCGUAGGCGGUUUAUUAAGUCAGAUGUGAAAGCCCCGGGCUUAACCUGGGAACUGCAUUUGAAACUGGUCAACUAGAGUAUGGUAGAGGAAAGUGGAAUUUCUGGUGUAGCGGUGAAAUGCGUAGAUAUCAGAAGGAACAUCAAUGGCGAAGGCAGCUUUCUGGACCAAUACUGACGCUGAGGUACGAAAGCGUGGGUAGCAAACAGGAUUAGAUACCCUGGUAGUCCACGCCGUAAACGAUGAUAACUAGCCGUUGGGGGGAUUUACCCUUUAGUGGCGAAGCUAACGCGUUAAGUUAUCCGCCUGGGGAGUACGGCCGCAAGGUUAAAACUCAAAGGAAUUGACGGGGACCCGCACAAGCGGUGGAGCAUGUGGUUUAAUUCGAUGCAACGCGAAGAACCUUACCUGGUCUUGACAUCCUGCGAACUUUCUAGAAAUAGAUUGGUGCCUUCGGGAACGCAGUGACAGGUGCUGCAUGGCUGUCGUCAGCUCGUGUCGUGAGAUGUUGGGUUAAGUCCCGUAACGAGCGCAACCCCUAUCCUUAUUUGCCAGCACAUCAUGGUGGGAACUAUAAGGAGACUGCCGGUGAUAAACCGGAGGAAGGCGGGGACGACGUCAAGUCAUCAUGGCCCUUACGACCAGGGCUACACACGUGCUACAAUGGGAAGGACAAAGAGCCGCGAAGCCGCGAGGUGUAGCUAAUCUCAUAAACCUUUUCGUAGUCCGGAUUGGAGUCUGCAACUCGACUCCAUGAAGUCGGAAUCGCUAGUAAUCGUAGAUCAGAAUGCUACGGUGAAUACGUUCCCGGGUCUUGUACUCACCGC
rnacentral:rRNA from 1 species